AUUGAACGCUGGCGGCAUGCCUUACACAUGCAAGUCGAACGGUAACAGGUCUUCGGAUGCUGACGAGUGGCGAACGGGUGAGUAAUACAUCGGAACGUGCCUAGUAGUGGGGGAUAACUACUCGAAAGAGUGGCUAAUACCGCAUGAGAUCUACGGAUGAAAGCAGGGGAUCGCAAGACCUUGUGCUACUAGAGCGGCCGAUGGCAGAUUAGGUAGUUGGUGGGAUAAAAGCUUACCAAGCCGACGAUCUGUAGCUGGUCUGAGAGGACGAACAGACACACUCGUACGUAGACACGCGCCAGACUCCUACGGGAGGGAGCAGUGGGGAAUUUUGGACAAUGGGCGCAAGCCUGAUCCAGCAAUGCCGCUUGCAGGUUGAAGGCCUUCGGGUUGUAAACUGCUUUUGUACGGAACGAAAAGCCCCGGGUUAAUACCCUGGGGUCAUGACGGUACCGUAAGAAUAAGCACCGGCUAACUACGUGCCAGCCGCCGCAGUAA
rnacentral:rRNA from 1 species